rnacentral:miRNA from 1 species
AAAUGAAAAUAAAAGUGAUAAUGGAAGGAAGGGGUAACAAAAAUGAAAAUAAAAAGUGAAAAUGAUAAUAAUUUCAAAUAGAUUUUAGUUUUUAGUUUUUGUUUUCACUUUUGUUACUCCUCCCUCCCAUUUUCUCAUCUCGUCUUCUCUC